rnacentral:rRNA from 1 species
UACGUAGGGGGCAAGCGUUAUCCGGAUUUACUGGGUGUAAAGGGAGCGUAGACGGUAGUGCAAGUCUGGAGUGAAAGGCGGGGGCCCAACCCCCGGACUGCUCUGGAAACUGUGCGACUAGAGUGCAGGAGAGGUAAGUGGAAUUCCUAGUGUAGCGGUGAAAUGCGUAGAUAUUAGGAGGAGCACCAGUGGCGAAGGCGGCUUACUGGACUGUAACUGACGUUGAGGCUCGAAAGCGUGGGGAGCAAACAGG